CCUGGCGGCCAUAGCGCCGUGGAACCACCUGAUCCCAUGCCGAACUCAGAAGUGAAACGCGGUAGCGCCGAUGGUAGUGUGGCAUUCGCCAUGCGAGAGUAGGACACUGCC
rnacentral:rRNA from 1 species